AGCGAACGCUGGCGGCAGGCCUAACACAUGCAAGUCGAACGAACUCUUCGGAGUUAGUGGCGGACGGGUGAGUAACACGUGGGAACGUGCCUUUUGGUUCGGAAUAACUCAGGGAAACUUGUGCUAAUACCGAAUGUGCCCUUCGGGGGAAAGAUUUAUCGCCAUUAGAGCGGCCCGCGUCUGAUUAGCUAGUUGGUGAGGUAACGGCUCACCAAGGCGACGAUCAGUAGCUGGUCUGAGAGGAUGACCAGCCACACUGGGACUGAGACACGGCCCAGACGCCUACGGGAGGCAGCAGUGGGGAAUCUUGCGCAAUGGGCGAAAGCCUGACGCAGCCAUGCCGCGUGAAUGAUGAAGGUCUUAGGAUUGUAAAAUUCUUUCACCGGGGACGAUAAGGACGGUACCCGGAGAAGAAGCCCCGGCUAACUUCGU
rnacentral:rRNA from 1 species